AGUAACGCGUGAGCAACCUGCCUAUGACAGUGGGAUAGCCUCGGGAAACCGGGAUUAAUACCGCAUAAAAUCGUAGAAACACAUGUUUUAACUGUCAAAGAUUUAUCGGUCAUAGAUGGGCUCGCGUCUGAUUAGCUAGUUGGUGAGAUAACAGCCCACCAAGGCGACGAUCAGUAGCCGGUCUGAGAGGAUGAACGGCCACAUUGGAACUGAGACACGGUCCAA
rnacentral:rRNA from 1 species